AACAAAAUAGUUAAAACUAAUAAUAUUAGAUUGUCAUUCUGAAGUUACCUUAAGAGGUUUUUGUUU
rnacentral:tRNA from 1 species